rnacentral:lncRNA from 1 species
GGUGAGCCAAAACGUUGCCAUCUUAUGUUGGUUGUGUGCGAUCAGAGUUUAGGAUUCAUCCUGCGAAAAUGAACUCGGUUUUAUUAUAGUGAAUCUCGUAUGUGCGGCGGCUCCACAUGGUUUGCGUCAAUCCGUGAUUAACCAGCCCCUCGUUGUUCGACACCUGACAACAAAAGAAGUGGAAUGGGAGUUGUAUGGGUUGCUGCAAUUAGGACGUCAAGCCCGGCGUUGCAAAGGGUGUAGUUAAAGGGGGUUGUGCGAGGCAACCAAGUGCGUAGCUGGUACGAGAGGAAACAUCCUUGAGGAGGAUGCGCACCAUGUUGUGAUGUUGGACCCCUUCCCCGCAAGAUGCGUCUGCCGAUAGAGCCACCCCUGCCUCCCUGCCAUGUCGUCCGCCACAACUCACGCCCAGUCUGGGGCCCCCCCACAUUUCCCCCCCCCCCCCAGGCACGUGGAGUACCUACACCAUCAAGGGGUUGGCCAACACCCCAGUUAGCUCUCUGCAGGUGGGUGUUUGGAAACCGUAGCCUGGGUAGCUACAUAGCUACCCACAAGCUUGCUCACAUGUCCACGGUUCUUGGAAGUUUGGAAGCGGUCGAGCAUAGAGCGCCCGGUGCUUUCCGCUUCAUGCAAAUCCCUCAGCUCGCAAUGAAAGCCACUCCUGUCGAAAGUAUGUCGAACAGUCGGCAGCGGGCUAGGAACCUAGCGGGGAAAUAUGCCUCUGAGGCGAUUGUGUUUUGGAGAAAAACCAACAUCCAGAAAAACGUUUCGUCGGCUUCGCAAUGUAGUAACCUUUCGGGCAGGAAAACUGCACUUUUUGCGACUCUCCUGGGCGGUAUAGCGCUCGUGACUGUAUCUGUUGGCCAAGCAAUGGUUGGGGGCUCAUGGUGUGGCAAGGUGUAGCGGGGGAAGAUGCCAGGAAGUGAUUUGUCCUUACGGGACAGCUCUAUGCUGGACCAAGAGCACUUGCUCGUCCUGGGAAGGGGUGCUGAAUGUGUGCACAAAAUCUUUAGCGCUGUCCGAAAGCUCACAAAAUGGAGAGGCAGCUAUUGUCCGCAGCUGUACAGUUCCCAGCAGACGUUUUGUCUGGACUUCGCUACGGAUACAGACGGAAUCCGAGGCAAUCGACUUGGCAUGGCCUCAUACGGGACGACUGGGUCGCAAAUUAUGAGGAAAGGAGCACCGGUGGCGGGUACAGAUGUCAGGAAGCAAGUGAUAAGUCACGCGCGAUUGCCAUUUCGAGUGUUAGGAUCAGUAAGCCUUGAAAUCGAGAAAAUUCUAGAAGAACUACAUUAGCGCUUAGCGCCCUUUUCAACUGUCCCGCCGUCCCCCGGGCCGCAUUCGCACUUGGGGGCCUUUUGAUUCUGCUGUACAAGCCGCCGAUUGGUGUCGCAACGUUGCAAGUGACAGCACAAGAUGCUAACCAAGCGCAGAGGGGGAUCAUCAGAGUCGGCACUUGCCUAACCUGACUUCCAUUCAGGGACAAGUAUGUAAUGAUCAUUUUAAUAGGUCUUUCUUCUAGUGUGAAGAAGCGGCCCACAGCGGCGCAUAGAUUCCAUUUUGCGGAGGUAUCCAAGCAGUUGCCUAAAGCCCUUAUAAUGGAAGCUAAACGGAAGUCAGCUAGGCAAAUAAGUUGCCAGGUUUCUCAUCCUAAAGCAUGCAUAUUUUAUACAGGUAACGUGCUGACAUGACUUUUGGCAUGUGUGCACUAGUUUAAUCGGACCGGUGCCGCGUUGCACACAUUAAAAUUAAGGCAGG